UUUUUUUUUGGUGUUCUCUUUGAUUCAAGUGUUUUAUAUAUUUGUGUUUUUGUGGUAAGAACGUUCUCCCGUUUAAUAAGUGAGAUGAAAGCAUGACCAGUUCGGCUGGUAUCUGGAGGGAGAUCGG